GAUGAACGCUAGCUACAGGCUUAACACAUGCAAGUCGAGGGACCGGCGCACGGGUGAGUAAUACGUAUCCAACCUGCCCUUUACUCGGGGAUAGCCUUUCGAAAGAGAGAUUAAUACCCGAUAUAAAGGAUGGGGAUGGGUUCCAUUAGGUUGUGGGUAAGGUAACGGCCCACCAAGCCUUCGAUGGAUAGGGGUUCUGAGAGGAAGGUCCCCCGCAUUGGAACUGAGACACGGUCCCAAAUGCGACGGGAGGCUGCAGAAAGGAAUAUUGGUCAAUGGGCGCUAGCCUGAACCAGCCAAGUAGCGUGAAGGAGGCAGGCGUAGGGGUCGUAAACUUCUUGGAUAGAAGAAGAUGUAUUAUAAGAAUAAGGAUCGGCUAACUCCGUGCCAGCAGCCGCGGUAAUAC
rnacentral:rRNA from 1 species